GGUACGAACGAAACGAAGGCAAAUCUAUCGUUUCUUUUCGCCGGUCGGUUAGACGAAGAGGAUGAAUGUGCUAGAGAUUAUUACAUCGAAUUCGAGGACGUGGGCAUUGACAAAAUCUAGCUUAUAUUAUUACCUGAUCUCUCAAUUUUCCUCCAAUAAAAUUACCCUAAAUGAUAACUCAGGGGAACGAGGCAGACAUUCGGAAUAUCAGAAGUUGGAAAUCCACACAAGUUUUUACUUUUAACUGUAACUGUCCAUUUCAGAAGGGCUAUGAGUAGAGAAGAUGAAGGUGAUGAAAUCAUCCAUGGGAUUGCUUGCUGACUUUAGAGGAGUAUUGCAAUUAGUUUUCCUUUGAGAGGUAAGUAAGUAAGUAAGUUUAUACAAAUAUAUGGAUUUUGUUUACUCAAAUAAAUCAUCAUUUGAAUUCUCUGUUUCGUCUACUUUCAGUCUUUGUUGCUCUUGCAUCUGUAUUGGUUGUCCUCUACCUGUUUUGGGUUUGUUUUGUACAUAAACUAGAUUUCUAUUCAAGGGGUUGUCCACUUCUUCAACACUAAGGAUACAA